GACGUGAAACCGGUGAGAUGGAAACGGAUAGAGUCGGCGUAUCCUGCAUGCAUUCAUUCAUAAUUAGGACUUCAAUCAGUUGUUGUAUUUACAGACUGGAUCAACUAUUGUUUUGCAAGACAAAUUAUGUUGCAUUUACAUGUGUUGUGCGUAGAGGUGUUUGGUAUGGUAGUAUGAACUCUACUUUGAGGCCAGCUUGCUGGUACCCAAGUUGAAGGACUGUUAUUCAUAUUAAAUGUAUGAGCUCGUAUGGUUUCGGACUCGUUUAGGCGCUGAGCUGGAUCUCGGUGGCGGUCGCAUGCGACACGUGCUGUGCAAUYGGUUCGUUCCUAAUCGACUUUUCAUGCGUGUUCUCUGCGUAAAAGCCGUUCAUCUAUCCGACCCGUCUUGAAACACGGACCAAGGAGUUUAUCGUGUGCGCGAGCCAUUGGGCGUUCAAAACCUAAAGGCGUAAUGAAAGUGAACGUUCUCGUAGGAGACUGAUGUGUGACCCUUUGCACUUCGGCGCAAGGGUGCAGCAUGGCCCCAUCCCGACUGCUUGCAGUGGGGUGGCGGAAGAGCGUAUGCGGUGAGACCCGAAAGAUGGUGAACUAUUCCUGAGCAGGAUGAAGCCAGAGGAAACUCUGGUGGAAGUCCGAAGCGGUUCUGACGUGCAAAUCGAU
rnacentral:rRNA from 1 species